UACAGAGGGUGCGAGCGUUAAUCGGAAUUACUGGGCGUAAAGGGCGCGUAGGCGGCCUUCUAAGUCAGACGUGAAAUCCCCCCGGCUUAACCUGGGAACUGCGUCUGAUACUGGAAGGCUUGAGUGCGGGAGAGGGAUGUGGAAUUCCAGGUGUAGCGGUGAAAUGCGUAGAUAUCUGGAGGAACACCGGUGGCGAAGGCGGCAUCCUGGACCGACACUGACGCUGAGGCGCGAAAGCUAGGGUAGCAAACGGG
rnacentral:rRNA from 1 species